GCUUAUAUGGAGUGCAGAAUAUCUUGCAUCCAAUUGAACAAACAAAACUGAAUAUUUGCCAAGAGGAGUGUUUAUUUAAAGACUAUCCUUGUGACGAGGAUGUCUUUCAACUGUGUGUAGAACUCAUGACUGAGCAUAACCUUGUCAUGUCAGAUGAUGUUUAUGAAAUUACAGACCUUUACCUCCAGCUUCGCGAAUUGAUCCUUCAAGGACUGGACGCUGAGGACUAGAUUCACCAUACUAAAUUAAUAAACAUCACUAUAAGCUGUGAAGGUAUUGUUUCAAUUGUUUUAGUAUUUCAGAUGACCAAAAUAUUUAAAUUGGAAUAAAACUUGAAACUUGAACUUGAAAUUUGAAAUUUACACCUGUGUCUGUAAGUGUUGAAUUGCAGCCUUCCACCACAUUACUCUUCCUACCCCCCUUGGACCACUAGAGAGAACACUGGAGUGGCACACGCCCAUCUCCUUGAAGUUCACUCUGAGGUCACAGCCAUUCAUGAGGCAACAGAGUAUCAACGGCUUCACUGGAGCUUCUAGCAUGCUGUCAAAUUGAUAUCUUGUUAUCUGUUUAUUUUCAGAGUUAUAACAUGGCAAAAGCACAACCAUCAGAAUAAGAGGCAUCUAGAUGUAAUUAAAACACUUUUAAUUACAAUUGUAAAAAGUUUGCCUUAUUUUUUUAUUUUAUUUUUCCAGCCACAGUAAUUUACAUGCAUGAUUUAUUGCAUUGAAUUAUACUGUCAAUACUUCAAACUUGAAUACAAAUGAAGUGCAGCAAGCCUUUUUAGAUGUACAAGUCAAGACAAUGUUUUGAACCUAAAAACUAAUGUAUUUAUGGCUUGAAACUGUUCAAAUUUGAUGGAUUUCUCUUCUGUUUAACCUUGACUUUCAAGACUUUAAAGGGGCAGGGGACUGAAAAUAUGAACAAAAAUGGGUUUAUAGGUAAAUUGAUGUUAUUUGUAUUAUCCCUGAAAUAAAUUAUUAAGAACUGAAUUUCUUAUGGUAUUUAGAUUAUUAACUGUAACCUUGUUGUGGUACAUUGCUCAAAACAAAACCUUAAACUUUCUUCUCAGAAUG